rnacentral:rRNA from 1 species
UGAGCAACCUGCCCUUGACUCUGGAAUAACAGUUGGAAACAGCUGCUAAUACCGGAUACGACCUUCGAUGGCAUCAUCUGGAGGUGGAAAGCUCCGACGGUCAGGGAUGGGCUCGCGGCCUAUCAGCUUGUUGGUGAGGUAACGGCUCACCAAGGCUUCGACGGGUAGCCGGCCUGAGAGGGCGACCGGCCACACUGGGACUGAGAUACGGCCCAGACCUCCGUAGGGAGG